rnacentral:sRNA from 1 species
AUCUUGUCAACAUUUCAUGUUUAGCACAAUAAAUUCCAAGGGGACUUUCUUCCUGUGAUUUCUCAUUGUUUUGAUCUUUUCAUCAGUCACAGAUUACCAUUCUCCGCUGCGCACUACGCAUGGGAAACAAUGGCCAAGCGUUAGCAACAAUCCAAAGCAGACCGGGUAAAACAAAGGCCAUUCACCAGUUACCGUUCAAUAUAAUGGCGUUUUCUUUAAGAAUUCCGUUUGGCAAGUGAGCUCUGCUCUUGACUGCAUGAGUAAUAUUCACAUCAACAUUCUUCGCCAAAAGGACCUUCAAGAACAUCAUCGGCAUUACAAGCAACAGCAUUACCACCAUCAACAUCAUGUAGCGUUGAAGAAGAAAAUGUUCUUCUUCUUUAUACCCCUAGCCAUAUUGGUCACCAUAACAAUGAGGAGCAGUGGCAGUGCUGUUGUCAUGGGUGCUGGACCAGCCUUUGUUGGUGGGUUGUAGAGUUGCCAUAUUUUUAGCACAUUUUUACAAAUAAUUUGAGAAGUUUGGAACUGUUUUGUAUUAAAUGGGGAUUUUAACCAAAUUGCGCCAUUUCUAAAAAAUUAAA